rnacentral:lncRNA from 1 species
UGACACCAGUGGCAUAUCACGGCCAUGGGGUCUCAGCAUUCCGCUGCUGCUCGCCCCUCCUCCUGCAGGCGAAAGCAAGAAGAUGACAGGGACGGUUUGCUGGCUGAACGAGAGCAGGAAGAAGCCAUUGCUCAGUUCCCAUAUGUGGAAUUCACCGGGAGAGAUAGCAUCACCUGUCUCACGUGCCAGGGGACAGGCUACAUUCCAACAGAGCAAGUAAAUGAGUUGGUGGCUUUGAUCCCACACAGUGAUCAGAGAUUGCGCCCUCAGCGAACGUGAAUUUUACCGGGAAGGCCGAGAUGGGAGGACCGUUUUCCUAUGUGUACUUCUUCUGCACGGUACCUGAGAUCCUGGUGCACAACAUAGUGAUCUUCAUGCGAACUUCAGUGAAGAUUUCAUACAUUGGCCUCAUGACCCAGAGCUCCUUGGAGACACAUCACUAUGUGGAUUGUGGAGGAAAUUCCACAGCUAUUUAACAACUGCUAUUGGUUCUUCCACACAGCGCCUGUAGAAGAGAGCACAGCAUAUGUUCCCAAGGCCUGAGUUCUGGACCUACCCCCACGUGGUGUAAGCAGAGGAGGAA